UCGGGAAUUUUGGGCAAUGGGUGAAACCCUGACCCAGCAACGCCGCGUGAAGGAUGAAGUAUUUCGGUAUGUAAACUUCGAAAGAAUAGGAAGAAUAAAUGACGGUACUAUUUAUAAGGUCCGGCUAACUACGUGCCAGCAGCCGCGGUAAUACGUAGGGACCAAGCGUUGUUCGGAUUUACUGGGCGUAAAGGGCGCGUAGGCGGCAUGACAAGUCACUUGUGAAAUCUCUGGGCUUAACCCAGAACGGCCAAGUGAUACUGUCGCGCUAGAGUGCAGAAGGGGCAAUCGGAAUUCUUGGUGUAGCGGUGAAAUGCGUAGAUAUCAAGAGGAACACCUGAGGUGAAGACGGGUUGCUGGGCUGACACUGACGCUGAGGCGCGAAAGCCAGGGGAGCAAACGGGAUUAGAUACCCCCGUAGUCCCUGAGCGGGCUGGCAAGGCGCAU
rnacentral:rRNA from 1 species